CGAAAAUGUCAAUUCCAGACUUUGACGACGAUAUAUUUACGUCAGUAAUUCGAAAGGAUUCAUCUAGGAUAUCUUCUCAUGGCUCUUACCCGACAAAAAUAGAAGAAGAGCAAUGGAGAAAAAAGAAGAAAUCGUCUAAAUCUAAUGCUGAUAUGAUCGGCUGGAAGCAUCCAGAGCACUUGAUUUCUCCGAAAGGCUCUUACCCGACAAAAAUAGAAGAGC